ACACAUGCAAGUCGAACGGUGAAGGAGAGCUUGCUCUCCGGAUCAGUGGCGAACGGGUGAGUAACACGUGAGCAAUCUGCCCCUGACUCUGGGAUAACUUCGGGAAACCGUAGCUAAUACCGGAUAUGACGCGUGAAGGCAUCUUCUGCGCGUGGAAAGAAUUUUGGUCAGGGAAUGAGCUCGCGGCCCUAUCAGCUUGUUGGUGAGGUAAUGGCUCACCAAGGCGACGACGGGUAGCCGGCCUGAGAGGGUGACCGGCCACACUGGGACUGAGACACGGCCCAGACUCCUACGGGAGGCAGCAGUGGGGAAUAUUGCACAAUGGGCGAAAGCCUGAUGCAGCAACGCCGCGUGAGGGACGACGGCCUUCGGGUUGUAAACCUCUUUUGUCAGGGAAGAAGCGAAAGUGACGGUACCUGAAGAAAAAGCACCGGCUAACUACGUGCCAGCAGCCGCGGUAAUACGUAGGGUGCAAGCGUUGUCCGGAAUUAUUGGGCGUAAAGAGCUCGUAGGCGGUUUGUCGCGUCUGCUGUGAAAACGCGAGGCUCAACCUCGCGCCUGCAGUGGGUACGGGCAGACUAGAGUGCGGUAGGGGAGAUUGGAACUCCUGGUGUAGCGGUGGAAUGCGCAGAUAUCAGGAAGACACCGAUGG
rnacentral:rRNA from 1 species